AUGAAAAGUUGGAGGAUGUCCCAGGAUGAGAACAUAGAUAUGGUACACCUGCUUGUCAAGAUUCUAACGUUAAUGUCCCACUUCCAGGAACAUGAAGAUGGACUGGUUUCACAUGCAGAUGUUGCAGCAUCUGCAUCUGAUUCAACAUUUUUGACUGCAGUUGCAAGUGUUUGCUGUGCACUACAUCUUCAACCUGCAGUAUCAAGAGGCGGCUUGUUGCACGUUAGAGUUUUUUCAAAGAUGAUUCUAUGGAAUAAACCCAGAAAGAGGCUCAAAGACCUGCCGAGGCAAGGUAGUCUCCAAAGGUUGCCACUCUACAAAAAAAAUUUAAUGGACUUCAAAUGGGACUUCAUCUAGACUACACCCCUCCCUGGCUACACUUGCAUCAGAGUUGGUGACAGUUUUAUGCUUCUGAAACGUUCUUGGACUGUUCUACAAAUCCUUGCCAGGUUUUGACUUAUUACACCAAAAUAAGAUUCUUGUUCAGAAGUUGUUUGCCAUUUCUUAAAGGCUGUUUUUAGGGGAAUGUACACUCCAAGCCCAUGCCCAUGCAUUGUCAUACUCAUAGCACUGAGCUAGACCUAAAAUGGCUGCUUGUUUUGUGUUUUAUAUGGUCAACUUAAAUUAGUUUAAAUAUGUCCACAGACUUCUGCAGGGUUCAUUUUGCACAUUGUCUGUUUUGUAAAUUGGUUAAUUUUCUUCUCUCUUCAUCUCAUCUUUCUCUAACACAUACAAAGACUGAUUCUUCCAUUUUGAUUGCUUAUUUUUUUUUUUUUGAGAAAGCAUUUGAAUUAUUGGUUGGGCACUUAAAUAAAUAGUGUUCUAUAAGAAAUACCCCCUUGGUCUUCUCUUUUCUGUCUAUUUGCUGCCACUUUUUAGUAUAAAUGAAAUGCCAGUUUGUGAAUUUGUUAAAAUACAGAUAUUUUUUAUAAAGUUAAUGAUUGGCAAAAUUGCCAGUUCUACGGUUUAGAAAAAAAAAAAAAAAACUAGAAUACAGUAAUGAUCCUGAAAAAUUAAAACCUGAAACCCUGCUGCCAGUAUAUUACUGUUAAUUUACAAAAAAAGCUGUAAUUCAGAAAACUGUAAAAUAACGGUACACAGCUGGAAACCCUGCUGCCAGUAUAUUACCGUUAAUUUACAGAAAAGCUGUAAUUCUGGAAACUGUAAAAUAACGGUACACAGCUGGAAACCCUGCUGCCAGUAUAUUACCGUUAAUUUACAAAAAAGCCGUAAUUCAGAAAACGGUAAUAAAACUGUAAAAUUACGGUACACUGCUGGAAACCCUGCUGCCAGUAUACUACCGUUAAUUUACAGGACAAUUUUUUACAGUGUGGUUAAGACUAUGAAUCUUCAUAAAUAUGGUCUUAUUUGGGAAUACUUUUAUGCUUUUACGGUACAGUGAUACUGCUUUGACACGAAAUAUAGGAUAGGAUUGUUGGAUUGUUGACUGGAUUAUAUGACUUAUAUUAUUACAUCAUCGCAUUUACAUAAAGAAUAUGAACAAAUAAUACAUUAUUACUAUAAAUGCAUAGUAAUUUCAUAGUGCAAUAU
ensembl:lncRNA